rnacentral:rRNA from 1 species
UACGAAGGGGGCUAGCGUUGCUCGGAAUCACUGGGCGUAAAGCGCACGUAGGCGGCUUUUUAAGUCAGAGGUGAAAUCCUGGAGCUCAACUCCAGAACUGCCUUUGAUACUGGAGAGCUUGAGUCCGGGAGAGGUGAGUGGAACUGCGAGUAUAGAGGUGAAAUUCGUAGAUAUUCGCAAGAACACCAGUGGCGAAGGCGGCUCACUGGCCCGGUACUGACGCUGAGGUGCGAAAGCGUGGGGAGCAAACAGG